rnacentral:rRNA from 1 species
UGGGCGUUAAGGGCUCGCAGGCGGUUUUCUUAAGUCCUGAUGUGAAAGCCCCCGGCUCAACCGGGGAGGGUCAUUGGAAACUGGGAAACUUGAGUGCAGAAGAGGAGAGUGGAAUUCCACGUGUAGCGGUGAAAUGCGUAGAGAUGUGGAGGAACACCAGUGGCGAAGGCGACUCUCUGGUCUGUAACUGACGCUGAGGAGCGAAAGCGUGGGGAGCGAACAGGAUUAGAUACCCUGGUAGUCCACGCCGUAAACGAUGAGUGCUAAGUGUUAGGGGGUUUCCGCCCCUUAGUGCUGCAGCUAACGCAUUAAGCACUCCGCCUGGGGAGUACGGUCGCAAGACUGAAACUCAAAGGAAUUGACGGGGGCCCGCACAAGCGGUGGAGCAUGUGGUUUAAUUCGAAGCAACGCGAAGAACCUUACCAGGUCUUGACAUCCUCUGACAACCCUAGAGAUAGGGCUUUCCCUUCGGGGACAGAGUGACAGGUGGUGCAUGGUUGUCGUCAGCUCGUGUCGUGAGAUGUUGGGUUAAGUCCCGCAACGAGCGCAACCCUUGAUCUUAGUUGCCAGCAUUCAGUUGGGCACUCUAAGGUGACUGCCGGUGACAAACCGGAGGAAGGUGGGGAUGACGUCAAAUCAUCAUGCCCCUUAUGACCUGGGCUACACACGUGCUACAAUGGACAGAACAAAGGGCUGCAAGACCGCAAGGUUUAGCCAAUCCCAUAAAUCUGUUCUCAGUUCGGAUCGCAGUCUGCAACUCGACUGCGUGAAGCUGGAAUCGCUAGUAAUCGCGGAUC